ACGUAGGGUGCGAGCGUUGCCCGGAUUUAUUGGGCGUAAAGGGCGCGUAGGCGGCUCGGCACGUCCGUUGUGAAAUCGCCCGGCUCAACUGGGCGGGGUCAGCGGAUACGGCCGAGCUUGAGCAAGCUAGGGGGCAAUGGAAUUCCCGGUGUAGUGGUGGGAUGCGUAGAUAUCGGGAGGAACACCGAUGGCGAAGGCAGGUCUCUGGGCCGCAACUGACGCUGAGGAGCGAAAGCAUGGGGAGCGAACAGGA
rnacentral:rRNA from 1 species